CCCCGCCUAGUAUGGUGGUUAUGACACUCGGCUUGUAAUCGAGUAGUCUCGAGUUCGAAUCCCGAAUAAGGUAGGGA
rnacentral:tRNA from 1 species